AGAACGAACGCUGGCGGCAGGCUUAACACAUGCAAGUCGAGCGCCCCGCAAGGGGAGCGGCAGACGGGUGAGUAACGCGUGGGAACAUACCCUCCGGUUCGGAAUAGCUCAGGGAAACUUGGAUUAAUACCGGAUACGGCCUAGCGGCGAAAGAUUCAUCGCCGGAGGAUUGGCCCGCGUUCGAUUAGCUAGUUGGUGAGGUAACGGCUCACCAAGGCGACGAUCGAUAGCUGGUCUGAGAGGAUGAUCAGCCACAUUGGGACUGAGACACGGCCCAAACUCCUACGGGAGGCAGCAGUGGGGAAUAUGGACAAUGGGCGCAAGCCUGAUCCAGCCAUGCCGCGUGAGUGAUGACGGCCUUAGGGUUGUAAAGCUCUUUCGCUAGGGACGAUAAUGACGGUACCUAGACAAGAAGCCCGGCUAACUCGUGCCAGCAGCCGC
rnacentral:rRNA from 1 species